GAUGAACGCUGGCGGCGUGCCUAAUACAUGCAAGUCGAGCGAACAGAUGAGGAGCUUGCUCCUCUGACGUUAGCGGCGGACGGGUGAGUAACACGUGGAUAACCUACCUAUAAGACUGGGAUAACUUCGGGAAACCGGAGCUAAUACCGGAUAAUAUAUUGAACCGCAUGGUUCAAUAGUGAAAGACGGUUUUGCUGUCACUUAUAGAUGGAUCCGCGCCGCAUUAGCUAGUUGGUAAGGUAACGGCUUACCAAGGCAACGAUGCGUAGCCGACCUGAGAGGGUGAACGGCCACACUGGAACUGAGACACGGUCCAGACUCCUACGGGAGGCAGCAGUUGCGAAUCUUCCGCAAUAGGCGAAAGCCUGACGGAGCAACGCCGCGUGAGUGAUGAAGGUCUACGGAUCGUAAAACUCUGUUAUUAGGGUAGAACAAAUGUGUAAGUAACUAUGCACGUCUUGACGGUACCUAAUCGGAAAGCCACGGCUAACUACGUG
rnacentral:rRNA from 1 species